ensembl:lncRNA
AUAUGAAGUCACUGAAAUGACUGCCAGUGAGCAGCGCAGAAUACUGACUGACAUAUGAGCUAGCGGUAAAUACAUUACAGGGUUACCUAGGCAACUGAAGCCUGGAAUGUCCACAAGAGACCAAAAGUCAACUUCAAAGUGAUGAGCGAUGGGAAAUGACUUCCUGUGUGGACUCAGCUUUGGUAAACAUUAUCCUGUUUGUGAUCUCAGUUGUUAGUGUUACGUGAUAUUGAAUUCUGCACGAUAUUCACUUUAUAAACUAUGGUCCCAUUAACAGUAAAAUAGAUAAUUAAGACACAGUGUGAGCGUGGCUAACUUGUGAUUGACAGGUCCCCACCAUAUGAGUACGCAGUGCUCUUGGUUUCUCAUCAAAACCACAUAAAGUCUGAAGCUUAAAAAUUAGACUCCACAAACAAAUGAGUGAUAUCAUAUUAGGUAUGUUAACCAGCUUUUAUUCACAGUCUAUGAAUGGGUCACUAAAACACUGAAACACAAUGGAAGCCUUUUCAAAAGGCUGCUGUUUCUUUUCUAUUUGCACCUAAAAGUUGCAUCUCAGCAUUACAUAAAAAUAGUAAUCAUGGAUACAUCAGCUCAAGGUGACUAGUAUAUGUGUGUGCUGGGUGUGCUGUGGUAGAGACAUAAGGAUGUCACUGCAUCUUCUGGAAGAACUAUUGAGAAAGAACAUUGUUUUCUGUUACUGACCAGAGCCAGUUAGCAUGUAUUUGCACUGCUAGCUAAGCACUUGACGCAAAGCGUCAUCUAGUCUCCUGCUUCCUCUUUUUGACAGCCGUCACCAAAUUAAACAUACCUCAUGAAAUUAGUCACUUCCCUAAAGUUUAACUCCAUCUGUAUGUCUGCAUGUAACUUGUGCCUACUUCCCAAUUUGAACAGUAGCAGUUAAAAACAAGACUUGGUCCACUCCCGUACCGGCAUUUUUUUGCUGCAUCAAGUCUGUAAUUUUUUUAACCGUAGGAUGGGAGGAGGCUGUGAGGAGAACUCUAAUCUGUACACCUGAAAGCAGUAAUUGUGAGACAAAGAGGUGCUAAUUUUUGUUUUUCAACACAAGACAUAAUUAUUAUUGGGCUGAUGAACUGUAAUGAAGAAGAACACAGUUGUGUAUAAUUUUUAUUAUUGGACUUUACUUUGCAUAAGUCACAGUUCAAACUAAUCCUCCUUUUAUUUUAUGCCGGGUCUUGGUGCACUUUUACCUGAUAAUUUUCUUGUUAACUGCCUCUUAUUAACACAAGGUUUAUGCAACUUCUGGGUGGUGCUGUUGUGUCUGAGAUGACCAUAUGAAGGCUAUCAACUCUCAGUGACAUCAUACAGAGCCAAAAUGAGAAAACAGUCUAAAGCAGUCUGAAGCCUGUGCUUUUGGGUUAUAAGAAUAUGACUCCUUUGCUAUGUUUAAUAUAAACAUUAACCACUGCAGCAACGUGUACAUAACAGAAAAUCAGGAAAAGCAUAAUAAAUCCCCUUUAGCUAUAUAUGAAUCAAAUUGUGGCAAUCUUAUGACUGACAGUCCAAGCUUAGGUCAAAAUGAGAACACUUGGGUCAGACACUCAUAACACUCAUCCUUUUGUGGUUUUCUUGCAUAGAUGUCCAUUAUGCACACUAUUCAUUUCUUUUGUUUCUUUCCUGUCUUUUUUCUUCCUCCUUUUCUCUCUUCUCUUUUUCCAUGAUGCUUAUUUUUAUAAGAAGGAAUUCUGCUGGUCUCGGCACUGCUAGUGUCACCAUGGUAUGUAUUCCUAGGAGGCCAGCCAAGCCUAAACACACAUAUGCAAUAUCCAUUCCUUUCCUUUUAAUAACCAAACUCCUCACACACAGCUAACACCCAGGGAAACACACACACGUGCACGCACAUACACGCACACACCCACCUAGCUAACCACUCAAUUUUCUGCCCACCUGUUUAAACAUAGCAGUGUGUAUAUGUAUAUGUGCGUACGUGUGCAAGUGCUUCCUCAUAAAGAGGCCUAUUGUCCUCCUGGCUGUAAUGUGUGCGCUGUGUCAUGAAUUGGCUCUGCAUCCACAAAGACCACUGCUGAUUUUAGCUUAAAACUAAAACAUAUGACCUAAAAUAACACGGCCACUCACAAGAAGCAGCUGACCUUUAAUGCUACUACCUCAGCAUCGUGGCUUUAAGGGUCAGGAUGUAAAUCACAAUGUUUUGUAAGUGAAAAAUGAGAAUACUACUUAGAAAUGAGUUUACAUUUUGAGGUUGUUAUUACUACUAUUAUUAUUAUUUUAAACGAGAAUAUUUUAUAUAUUUCUGUAAUGCCGGUAAAUGAGACCUGCGUUUUAAUUUUAAACAAAUCCUUUAAAAAGUCACAUUAUUUGAUUCAUGCAUUCAUUCAUUAUCUUCUUUUUAUAGUUUUAUUUUUCUAACCCCACCGAGUCAAACGCACAGACCCCUCUUUUAUCGCUGUUUGUUGUUACAAAGUGGUAGAAUUGUGAUAUGAACAAUACUUUAUUUGGAUCCUUUGCUUCAGCACUAAUGAAUGAAAAUUCUUCAGCCUGCUGAAGACAGCAUUCUGAGAAAACAGACUAAAAAAUGAACAGCCACAAUAAGUCAUUAUGACUGUACAAAAUCAUCAUCAUGUCAUCAUGAUUCUGUGCAGUUAGUAUGGUGAACAUGUUAGCAAAA